rnacentral:rRNA from 1 species
AGAAUGCAAGUCGAACGCUGAUUGACGGGUAGCAAUAUUCGUCAGUCGGAGUGGCGCAAGGGUGCGUAACACGUGGGUAAUUUGCCGUGAAGUUUGGGAUAACUCGCUGAAAGGCGAGCUAAUACCGGAUGUGAUCGUUGGGAGGCAUCUUUUGACGAUCAAAGUUGGGGACCGAAAGGCCUGACGCUUCACGAUAAGCCCGCGGCCUAUCAGCUAGUUGGUGAGGUAACGGCUCACCAAGGCGAAGACGGGUAGCUGGUCUGAGAGGACGACCAGCCACACUGGAACUGAGACACGGUCCAGACACCUACGGGUGGCAGCAGUCGAGAAUUUUUCUCAAUGGGGGAAACCCUGAAGGAGCGACGCCGCGUGGGGGAUGAAGGGCUUCGGCCUGUAAACCUCUGUCAUUUGCGAACAAACCCUGUGUGUUAAGAGCAUGCAGGCUGAUUGUAGCGAAAGAGGAAGGGACGGCUAACUCUGUGCCAGCAGCCGCGGUAAUACAGAGGUCCCGAGCGUUGUUCGGAUUCACUGGGCGUAAAGGGUGCGUAGGCGGUGAUGUAAGUUUGAUGUGAAAGCUCGCAGCUCAACUGCGAAAUGGCAUUGAAUACUACAUUGCUAGAGGCUUGGAGGGGGGACUGGAAUUCUCGGUGUAGCAGUGAAAUGCGUAGAUAUCGAGAGGAACACCAGUGGCGAAGGCGAG